CAAACACCACGAAACCACUGAGGUGGCUGAGUAUUUUGCUGCUUUUUUACUGAAAGGAGCUGAGGCUUUUGGACAUCAGUCAGCUGAUCAGUCUGAACAGCACAGUACCAUGUUAGUUGGUAUAAUAGCAGAAGUGGCCUUUGGAGAAAAUGUUUUAGGUGGAUGGAAAAGCUAGCAACUGGGUGUGUAAAGCAGCCCUUAACAUGACCACUAUGAAUCUCAGCAGUGAACUUCGACAAGAAAAAACAAAUAUGUUUGUAAAGUGAUAUUGUGAUACUGGUCUGAUCGGGCAAAACCACUGCUGAUGCCUACCUAUGAUUGGAAGAGAACAUAGGCCACAGACUUUGGAAUGCUGACCUCAUAUUAGGCAAGUCUGUUGCUCACUUUCCCACCCCUGCGCAACUCCUGUUUUCCUGUCCUUUCUUCGUAUCAUUAAACUCAUAUCAGAGUCCAG
rnacentral:lncRNA from 1 species